UCCCUGGUGGCUCAGUUGGUAAAGAAUCUGCCUGCAAUGCAGGAGACCUGGGUUCGAUUCCUGGGUGGGGAA
rnacentral:tRNA from 1 species